rnacentral:rRNA from 1 species
GUGGGGAAUAUUGGGCAAUGGGGGAAACCCUGACCCAGCAACGCCGCGUGAAGGAAGAAGGUCUUCGGAUCGUAAACUUCUAUCCUUGGUGAAGAUAAUGACGGUAGCCGAGAAGGAAGCCCCGGCUAACUACGUGCCAGCAGCCGCGGUAAUACGUAGGGGGCAAGCGUUGUCCGGAAUGAUUGGGCGUAAAGGGCGCGUAGGCGGCCUGGUAAGUCUGGAGUGAAAGUCCUGCUUUUAAGGUAGGAAUUGCUUUGGAUACUGUCGGGCUUGAGUGCAGGAGAGGUAAGUGGAAUUCCCGGUGUAGCGGUGAAAUGCGUAGAGAUCGGGAGGAACACCAGUGGCGAAGGCGACUUACUGGACUGUAACUGACGCUGAGGCGCGAAAGUGUGGGGAGCAAACAGGAUUAGAAACCCGUGUAGUCC